rnacentral:rRNA from 1 species
UACGGAGGGUGCGAGCGUUGUCCGGAAUCUCUGGGCGUAAAGGGCGCGUAGGCGGCCGUGUAAGUCACUUGUGAAAUCCCGGGGCUCAACUCCGGGGCUGCAGGUGAGACUGCGUGGCUAGAGCUUGGUAGAGGCGAGUGGAAUUCCCGGUGUAGAGGUGAAAUUCGUAGAUAUCGGGAGGAACACCAGUGGCGAAGGCGGCGACCUGGGCCAACAUUGACGCUGAGGUGCGAAAGCGUGGGGAGCAAACAGG